rnacentral:rRNA from 1 species
AUUGAACGCUGGCGGCAGGCCUAACACAUGCAAGUCGAGCGAGCGGCGGACGGGUGAGUAAUGUCUGGGGACUGCCCGAUAGAGGGGGAUAACUACUGGAAACGGUAGCUAAUACCGCAUACUAUCGGAUAACCCAUAUGGGAUUAGCUAGUAGGUGAGGUAAUGGCUCACCUAGGCGACGAUCCCUAGCUGGUCUGAGAGGAUGACCAGCCACACCAGGACUGAGACAAUGCCCAGACUCCUCCGGAGGCAGCAGUGGGGAAUAUUGCGCAAUGGGCGCAAGCCUGGUGCAGCCAUGCCGCGUGUAUGAAGAAGGCCCUGGGGUUGUAAAGUACUUUCAGUCGGGAGGCGUUACCGACAGAAGAAGCACCGGCUAACUCCGUGCCAGCAGCCGCGGUAAUAC